GGGAGGCGGGGGGCGGCGGCGGGCGGCGGAGCGCGGGGGCUGGUUCUUGGUCCCCGGGAGAAGCCAAGAAGGUAUCAGAAUGGCUUGUGGGUUUGGCUUAAAGCUACAGAAAAGACAGAGGGAGAGAAGAAAAAAGCCUGCCAGAGCCGAGGUAGCUGCACGGCCAAGAGCUAUCCUGGGAGAGCUAUUGAAAGAGCCUUGAAACUUUUUUUUUUGUUUCAAAUUCUGCGACACUUGAGCCGCUCUGCACCCAGUUUUUGGAUGGAGAAAAGGAUAGUCAAGAAAGCCAAGUGUUCAUCAAGAGAACAGGACUCAGGAAUGCUUGGAACAAGAGUCCUGGUGGCCAUGAAGAGGCAUUAGAAACAACUGCAAGUCUGCAUUCCAUCUUUGAUAAAGAAUAAGCUGCUACUUCCCAACAAAACUGUCUGAUUGGUUUCUAGCCAAGCGGGGACCUCGAGGCUUUUAUGGGGACCAGAGAAGUUGGGAUAAUGCUGGAGCCCAAAGCCAUUGAGCUGCUGGCUGACGUCACACAUAGCAGAGUGAGAGCCCUCCAUGGCCAUGGACGGAGCCAGCACUCACGUUCAAGUAUUUGAUCUCCUUGUCCUCGGUCGCGAGUCCCCCUCUUCACCUGGCACUUGGGACAGACCUAGACUUGGUGUCUAGGACUUCUUGUUAUCUGGACAGAAGGAUCGAGUGUCAGCUUGUUUUCUUUGAGACACGUGGACCUGUGUUAAUGGUGCUGAGGAGGAAUUACAUGAUGUUGCAGGUGAUAAAACAGAAAUAAGGAAUCCAUACUCUUUUGAAGCCUACAUUUAAACUGGAGAGAUGGACAAGCAAAAUAAAUGGAGUGGGGAAGGCGACUGUGAAGGCAACCUUCUUGAAGAUGGCAGUGAGUCUUCAAAGAGUCACUUCAAUGGAUGGAGGCCAAGGUGACUUCAGACGUGGACAGGACAUCUCGUGAGGAGACCCUGCUUGGCUGGAAGGUUCUCCUAGCAUUGACUUGGUUGUGCUAAGAAACGUGGGCAUCCGGUGUUGUUCUUCAGGGUCGUCGCAAGCCAAGUCCGCAGAUGAUUUGGAGCAUGUGGGGCUUGCUUUAAAGGCUGCCUGGGAGAGCCCCCCCCCCCACCCGCACUGCUCACACUGUCCCCAGCCCGCCAGUGGAACCAAAGACUUGAGAUCUCCACUGUGCCUUACUCCCCAUAACCAGUACCUCGUCUCACAUCCCUCUCCCACAGCCAGCACACAUAGGACAUCGAGUUACCGGCUCUGGCUUCUCCCGGGUGCCCUUGAUCAAGCAAGCACGGCCCUCCCUCCUCCAUCACCAAGGAGAUUCAGGAAUUUGUGGGACCCAGCUCAUGUCGGGUUAUUGAGUAACUGGCGGGGCAUUGAAUGUCAGGGCUGAGAAAACAAAGCUGCCUACCUGUUGGGCCAGAUGACUUCACAGCCCCAGCUGGUCUUCUGGCGCGGGCUUUCUCCAGCUUCCGUCAGUGACGCCUUCCAACAAGCCCCGCCCGCAUCGUGCUGUUCUAAACACCCAACUUGAGGAUUCUUGCUGUGCUCAGGGAGAAGGAGAACAGGCUCAACCACCACCAGCCAAAGGCACAUCAGGUAUCAGGGUAAUUGAUGAGUAGGGAUUGGGUUGAUGGAAGAAGACCCCCAUCCGCCGUCUAAUUGGGCUGUGGGUGAAAAACAAAGAUGUGGCACGUUUGGGGAGUAAAAUCUGGCUGGCACGUGUUCGCCUGCUUCUGGACUUGUGGCUCUUCUCUCAGUCGGCUUGGCGUUGGAGUCCCCUGAGCAUGGGCAAUUCCCCUGUCAUCUCCCUGAGGGAGGGAUCUGGUGACUUCAUCUCUGAAGCUUCCUGGUGUGCAGCACAGAACCAGUGUCCGAGGGUUGGAUUAGACCUUGGAGAAGUCAUGUCUUCUCUCCGGCCCUUGACUUCCCUAGCUUAAAAUGGGCAUAAUGUCCUUUCUCCUUCCCAAGCUUUUAAAGAAGACUCUAAGGGCGCCUGGGUGGCUCAGUGGGUUAAAGCCUCUGCCUUCGGCUCGGGUCAUGAUCCAGGGUCCUGGGAUCAAGCCCCGCAUAGGGCUCUCUGCUCUGCAGGGAGCCUGCUUCCUCUUCUCUCUCUGUCUGCCUCUCUGCCUAGUUUCGCUCUGUCAAAUAAAAAAAAAUUAUUAAAAAAAAUAAUAAAGAAGACUCUAGUUCCUGCUCUGCA